UGGCUCUCGCAUCGAUGAAGAACGCAGCGAAAUGCGAUAAGUAAUGUGAAUUGCAGAAUUCAGUGAAUCAUCGAAUCUUUGAACGCACCUUGCGCUCCUUGGUAUUCCGAGGAGCAUGCCUGUUUGAGUGUCAUUAAUUUCUCAACCUUACCAGCUUUGCUGCAUGGUAUGGCUUGGAUGUGGGGGUGUUUUGCAGGCUUUUACAAGUCAGCUCCCCUGAAAUACAUUAGCAGUACCCUUCUGUGGUAAACGGCUAUUGGUGUGAUAAAUAUCUCUGCCACUAGACGCCCACAUUUUAUAUGGGGGGCUAUGCUGCUUCUAACAGUCCAUUGAUUUGGACAAAUUUAAAUGACAAUUUUGACCUCAAAUCAGGUAGGACUACCCGCUGA
rnacentral:misc_RNA from 1 species